GGUGUCGCUUAAUGGAAGGGCAUCUGCUUCACAUGCAGAAGGUCCCGGGUUCAAUCCCCGGCAGCUCCA